CCACAUGCAAGUCGAACGAACUCUGGUACUGAUUGGUGCUUGCAUCAUGAUUUACAUUUGAGUGAGUGGCGAACUGGUGAGUAACACGUGGGAAACCUGCCCAGAAGCGGGGGAUAACACCUGGAAACAGAUGCUAAUACCGCAUAACAACUUGGACCGCAUGGUCCGAGNUUGAAAGAUGGCUUCGGCUAUCACUUUUGGAUGGUCCCGCGGCGUAUUAGCUAGAUGGUGGGGUAACGGCUCACCAUGGCAAUGAUACGUAGCCGACCUGAGAGGGUAAUCGGCCACAUUGGGACUGAGACACGGCCCAAACUCCUACGGGAGGCAGCAGUAGGGAAUCUUCCACAAUGGACGAAAGUCUGAUGGAGCAACGCCGCGUGAGUGAAGAAGGGUUUCGGCUCGUAAAACUCUGUUUUAAAAAAGAACGUAUCUGAGAGUAACUGUUCAGGUAUUGACGGUAUUUAACCAGAAAGCCACGGCUAACUACGUGCCAGCAGCCGCGGUAAUACGUAGGUGGCAAGCGUUGUCCGGAUUUAUUGGGCGUAAAGCGAGCGCAGGCGGUUUUUUAAGUCUGAUGUGAAAGCCUUCGGCUCAACCGAAGAAGUGCAUCGGAAACUGGGAAACUUGAGUGCAGAAGAGGACAGUGGAACUCCAUGUGUAGCGGUGAAAUGCGUAGAUAUAUGGAAGAACACCAGUGGCGAAGGCGGCUGUCUGGUCUGUAACUGACGCUGAGGCUCGAAAGUAUGGGUAGCAAACAGGAUUAGAUACCCUGGUAGACCAUACCGUAAAAGAUGAAUGCUAAGUGUUGGAGGGUUUCCGCCCUUCAGUGCUGCAGCUAACGCAUUAAGCAUUCCGCCUGGGGAGUACGGCCGCAAGGCUGAAACUCAAAGGAAUUGACGGGGGCCCGCACAAGCGGUGGAGCAUGUGGUUUAAUUCGAAGCUACGCGAAGAACCUUACCAGGUCUUGACAUACUAUGCAAAUCUAAGAGAUUAGACGUUCCCUUCGGGGACAUGGAUACAGGUGGUGCAUGGUUGUCGUCAGCUCGUGUCGUGAGAUGUUGGGUUAAGUCCCGCAACGAGCGCAACCCUUAUUAUCAGUUGCCAGCAUUAAGUUGGGCACUCUGGUGAGACUGCCGGUGACAAACCGGAGGAAGGUGGGGAUGACGUCAAAUCAUCAUGCCCCUUAUGACCUGGGCUACACACGUGCUACAAUGGAUGGUACAACGAGUUGCGAACUCGCGAGAGUAAGCUAAUCUCUUAAAGCCAUUCUCAGUUCGGAUUGUAGGCUGCAACUCGCCUACAUGAAGUCGGAAUCGCUAGUAAUCGCGGAUCAGCAUGCCGCGGUGAAUACGUUCCCGGGCCUUGUACACACCGCCCGUCACACCAUGAGAGUUUGUAACACCCAAAGACGGUGGGGUAACC
rnacentral:rRNA from 1 species